GCUAUAUCACAUUGAAACACUGGUUCUCAUAUAAUCGGCAAAGUUAAGCAAUGCUGAGACUGGCUAGUACCUAGAUGGUUGACCACUUGAGAAUACAAGGUGCUGUAA